CGUGUGCUGAGCACUGGUUCAGACGCCGCCUCUGCUUGCAGACACACCAUGGGCGUGUGCAGCAUCCAGAGCAGCCCCCAUCGGGAGCACAUCCUGGCCACGGGAAGGUGAGUCCCCGGGAGGCUCUCGGGCCCUUCUCUUCUCUUUCGCUGCCUUUGCUCCUGGGAAGGUGAGUCCCCGGGAGGCUCCUGGGCCCUUCAUCCCUCUUUCGCUGCCUUUCCUCCUGGCACCAUUGCAGCGUUUCGUCUGCCAGUGCUUCGCCGGAGUGUAGGUAUAUGGGUUUGGGAAAGGGGACUUUGUCCUCGAGGGAUGCAUGGGACAGGUCUCUGGGAGACGUUCUGUGUCUCCCAGGGGCCUUGUGGAACAGGUGAGCCUGGGCUUUCCUUGCAUGCCUCCCAUGGUUGGUCGGUUUCAGCUAUGAUGAGCACAUCCUACUGUGGGACACACGAAACAUGAAGCAGCCGUUGGCAGACACGCCCGUGCAGGGUGGGGUAUGGAGAAUCAAGUGGCACCCUUUCCACCACCACCUGCUCCUGGCCGCCUGCAUGCACAGUGGCUUUAAGAUCCUCAACUGCCAAAAGGCAAUGGAGGAGAAGCAGGAGGCGACGGUCCUGACAUCUCACACAUUGCCCGACUCGCUGGUGUAUGGAGCCGACUGGUCCUGGCUGCUCUUCCGUUCUCUGCAGCGGGCCCCCUCGUGGUCCUUUCCUAGCAACCUAGGAACCAAGACGGCAGACCUGAAGGGUGCAAGCGAGUUGCCAACACCCUGUCAUGAAUGCAUAGAGGAUAACGAUGGGGAGGGCCAUGCCAGACCCCAGAGUGGAAUGAAGCCACUCACAGAGGGCAUGAGGAAGAAUGGCACCUGGCUGCAGGCUACAGCAGUCACCACACGUGACUGUGGCGUGAAUCCAGAAGAAGCAGACUCAGCCUUCAGCCUCCUGGCCACCUGCUCCUUCUAUGACCAUGUGCUCCACCUCUGGGAGUGGGAGGGGAACUGAGCUUGAAAUCAUGAAGCCCCUUCCCACAAGGAGACCAGGAGGGAGACUGAGUGAAUGCCCGGGACCACCUCGUCGGAGAUGCUUACUGCAGCCCUGCAGGUGCCUGUGCACUGAUGGAAUCCACAGUGUAGUCAGAAAAGCUGUUGACUUCUCUUAAAUAAACUUCCCUGCUGGGCCCCUGAAAGUGGACUGGGUGAUUCUGUCUGGCAGAGAGUGGGGAAAAGACUCGGUUUCCAGCUUGCAGAUUUGUUAAGUUUCUCAGGCAGAUUUUGACUUUCAGCCUUUCAUACUUGUUUAAGCAACUAUUUAUAUUAAAUGAAUUUUUUUGAAAAA
rnacentral:sRNA from 1 species